GACGAACCGUGCGAACGGUUAUUCGGAAUCACUGGCUAAAGCGCGUGUAGGCGGAUGGGAACGUCGGUCGUUGAAAGCCCCCGGCUCAACCGGGGAACUGGCGCCGAAACGACCCGUCUGGAGGGACGUAGGGGGACCUGGAACUUCCGGUGGAGCGGUGAAUGCGUUGAGAUCGGAAGGAACGCCCGUGGCGAAAGCGAGGUCCUGGACCGUCU
rnacentral:rRNA from 1 species